rnacentral:rRNA from 1 species
UACGUAGGGGACAAGCGUUAUCCGGAUUUACUGGGCGUAAAGCGCCCGUAGGCGGCCUGACAAGUUGGACGUGAAAGCUCCUGGCUUAACUGGGAGAGGCCGUUCAAAACUGUCAAGCUAGAGUCUGGAAGAGGAGAGUGGAAUUCCCGGUGUAGCGGUGAAAUGCGCAGAUAUCGGGAAGAACACCCGUGGCGAAGGCGGCUCUCUGGGACGGUACUGACGCUGAGACGCGAAAGCGUGGGGAGCGAACAGG